CCACUGAUCGUCUCCGAGAUGGCCGUGGCUGCGGCUGGAUGACGCCACCGCCCGGGCCACUCCCUGGGCGCUCUUAGAAGUGCUUGUCCCCUCACGAAUCCCCCAGCAGCCUGGGAUGCCGCCAUCUUCCCUGAAUUACCGCACGGCAGAGGCUCGCCACGCCAGAGCUCGGUGUGUGCCCCGCUCGCGCCAGGUCAGUGGGAGACCUCUCGUCCCAAAGCAGUGUCUGCGUGCAACCUGGCCCCGACGCCAGCAGCACAGAGCCCGGGUGUCCACGGCACCGACGGCUCACGGCAGAGGUACCCAGCGGACAAAACCGGCGUCCCCGCAGCAGUGCCCACGCCUGCCGGCCGGAGGUGCUCCGAGCGUCUUGCCUCUCUGGUCUGGGGGCCGGCUUACGAGGGACAGCGGCUUCCGGAGGGCGGGCAGGCAGGCAGGAGGGUCGGUGUCACCAGCGUCACAUGCCGGGAACGCAUGCAGCCAGCCAGCGUGCAGAUGCGUGAGUUCCCGGGCGAGACUGCAGGGGGCGCACAGCCCACGGCUGAGCAACGUGCAGGAAGGCUCAGCCUUCACGCGUGACACAGACCAGCGGCCACGGCGGGCGCGGCGGCUCCGCCCAGCCCCCGGCUCACUCUCCAGGUCCCGCAGGGCCAGCGAGGACCCCUGGGGUGGGUGGCACGGGGCCGAGGUGGGGACCGGCAGGGAGAGGCAACACCGGCGGUGUUUUCCACACCAGAAACAGCCCCUGCUCAUCGGGGGCUGCGGGCGGUCUACACAGACCUCAGCUCGGCCGGACUCUCGCGGUGGGACAGGGACCUCGGAGAGCCUCAGGCGCCGUCCCUCCUUAAGGCCUCAGCUCGGAGAGGAAGGUGGGGGCGCCCUCCCCUCCCCAGCUAGGCUCUUCCAGGGGCUGCUCACUGCUUGCGGUGCCGACCGUGGGCAGCCCCGUAAAGGCACUGUGCGAUGCCAUACACACCUUGGAAGGCCCUGGGACUCCACCGAGGGCCCAGAGAGCUGUGAUCCCCGCCCCAGCUCCAGCCCGUCAGCUGCCUGGGGGGGCAGGGCAGGGGUGCCCAGAGGCCGAGCAUCCUCCCUGGGCAGGGCCAGGGCUUGCACCGCGAAGACAUGGAGGCAGAGGACAGAGGCCCCAGGCAGGUGGGCGCAGACCCCACCCCCACCUGGUGCCUGGGCCUGAGCUGAGACACCCGCCACCCAGUGGCCCCUGGGAGGCCUGGCCCCUGGCCCGGGACCCAGCACGCCAGGUUCCCUUGGGAGCGUCUGGGGGGGCCAGCCCAGCAGCCAGGACCACGCCCCAGGACCCAGGGACAACGGGGCCAGCAAGCGUAGGCCUGAGCUGUCCCACCCCAGCCCCCACCAUGACCAGCACAGACUCCCUGGGCCACCUCGGUCUGGAUCUGGAUACAACAGGGCGACGAUGGGGGGUGGGGGGGACAAGGGCGCUGCCCUGCCUGGGAGCCCAUCACUGCGGCUUUAGGAAUCCAAGGGGCUCCCCUGCCCCGCUCCUGCUAGGGCAGAGUGAAGCCGGCCCCUCGGGAAAAGCAAGAAGCCCGGAACAUUCGUGGUGCAUUUUUAUUGCUCGAGUGCGUGGUGCGCAGGCGCGGGGGCUGAGCCGCACAGUCAGGAGCCGCAGAACUGGGGGCGCCCUGGCCGGGCCACGGUCCCUGGUUCGGUGCGGGGCUCACGUGGCAGGGGCCGAUUGCCGGGGUGGGGGGUUCUCUCUGGGAGGUAGGAGCUCCUGAUCCCAGGCCAUGUGGGUGCUGGGCUGUGCCCUUCAGCUUCCGUAAGACUUUUAGGGUUAGCCAUGAGCAGAGGACCCGGGCCUGAUGCUCUGAUGAGGCCGAGCAGCAGGGGGUUCUGGGAUGAAGCCUCCGUGCCUGGCUCCCCGGGUGGGAGGGCCAUGCUUCUGCAUCCUGGCGCCCGGCUUGGCCGUCCACUCGGCCUGCAGGCCUGCACCGUGCAGGGGCAAGCAGCGGGGAGCCAGCCGGGCCCUCCCUCCUGCCCCCCGGCCAAUGUGCUGUCUCCACGGACUCUCCCCAGACACAGCUUUCUGAUUAAAAUUCUUAUUUUCUCCACACCUCUGUCCCCCGUUUUCCUCUAGAACACAAGCAACCAGCUGUUACUCAGGCGCUGGUCACGACACAGAGAGGGGACACCAUGUGUCCCUUCUCGAAGAC
rnacentral:lncRNA from 1 species